AUCCGUCUGAACUUCACGACAGGUUAACUUAGCUAAAAUGCUAACAUCAAAUGCCGCGGGUCAGCUAAUGAAUCAAAAAAGUUAAAUGGUUUUCCGAUGCUUAGCUGUCUGAGGGGAGUGAAAGAACAACACCUCAAGAUAUCAUUUACAUGUCAGCUUGAACGUAUCACUCAUCGCACCCAAACACGAACAGAUUCAGGUAAUAGAUUAAGAUGGCAUGACAUUCACAUGCGAGCUGCCAUGUUUGUAAAGAAGAUCGUCUACACCCAGGAAGACGCUUCACUCGUCACCCUCUCCAUGUCUAUGCCCCAUUCUCUUUCCAUCUCCUCUGUCUCUUCGGCUAUCUGUUGACUGUUCAGGUAGAUGCUACUGUGUGAAACCAUGGUGCCUGUGUCUCUGGAAGGAAGAGAAUACCAGCCACAGCGAUCAAUACCAGCAUUGGAGCGAUGAUUAACACCAACCACAGAUGACUCCGUACACCAUCAGUAUCUAAGAAGCAGAUUCAGAGAGGGGGAAAGUGUCAUUUUGGAGGACACCAACAGCUAAAUGUGUGUUUCUAAGAUAUUGAUCAGCUUGCUCUGGUAAAACCCAGCAGACUCCAACACAUAUUGAUAAUAAAUGUAAAGCUAUGAUGUG